rnacentral:tRNA from 1 species
AAAGGGAGACCUAAUUCAGGUAAAAGACGAAAAAAAAGUAGUCGCUACCAAGAAUCAAUCCCAAAAGGUCGGGGCGAGGCGAAAUUGGCUUUCAAACUAGGUUCUGGGUUCAAACAAGACCUGAAUCAGGAACAAGGGCUAUUAGCUCAGGUGGUUAGAGCGCACCCCUGAUAAGGGUGAGGUCCCUGGUUCGAGUCCAGGAUGGCCCACCUGCACAGGUGGCAAAAACAAGAGAAGCGAGGAAUCAGCACCUUAUCUUACUUAUAUAGUAAGAGAGAAUGCUGGCUCUGAGUAAAGAGUCCAGAGGAACCUUGAAAACUGCAUAGAGCUAGGUGAAAAAGCCAAAAAAGAAGACCGCAAG